GGGUUGAACCUAAAUACCAUUUAAUUAAUUGUGAAACACAAAUCCCUAAAAAUUCAACCUCAAUCUGUCACGGUACAUGUGGCCUAUUAUAGGCAUAUCAACAAAAGACAAUAUUGUUUUAAAUGUUGGGGGAAAAAAUCGCAUAUUCAUCACAGCGAGUUCACAUUUUCUUUAUUCAUUUUUUUUUUCGUCUUAGGAUUUCCAGGUGUUGUGGGUUGUACUGAUGGGACUAUUAAUAAGAUUCAGGCUCCCAAAGAAAAUGAAGCUGAUUAUAUAUGUAGGAAAGGAUAUUACGCCCUCAACAUACAAAUGACAUGCGACCCACGGUAUCAAAUAAUUGACUUGGUGGCAAAGUGGCCAGGCAGUGUGCAUGAUUCAAGAAUAUUCCGUGAAUCAGCCUUAUGUACAUAUUUGGAAGAAGAUUGGAGUAGGUAGAAGGCAGAUUUGAGGAGAUGGAAGGCUGGCUCUUUGACAGAUCUGUGAAAAUUGUCAGACAAUAAAUUUUAGUAAUAAAAAAGUCAUAUACAUUUUCUUGGUGCCAAUGCACAGACUUCAAUAAUCUUAGAAUAAAAGUGCUCGUAUGCUUGUC